rnacentral:rRNA from 1 species
AUAUCACUAAGCGGAGGAAAAGAAAUUAACUAAGAUUGCCUCAGUACCGGCGAGGGAACUGGCAUCAGCUCAAACUUAAAAUCUGAAGUCUACGACUUCCGAAUUGUAAUCUAAAGGGUAUGUCUAAAGGCUGGAUUGUAGUAUAAGUUUCCUGGAACGGAGCACCAAAGAGGGUGAAGGCCCCGUGCAGUGAUUUCUCGAACAAGGGGACUCGAACAAGAGUCGUGUUGCUUGGAACUGCAGCACUAAGAGGGAGAUAUGAUUCUUCCAAAGCUAAAUAUGGAUGGGAGACCGAUAGCGCACAAGUA